UGAAGCGGCAACAGCUCAAAUUUGAAAUCUGGCCCUAGGCCCGAAUUGUAAUUUGUAGAGGAUGCUUUUGGUGCGGUGCCUUCUGAGUUCCCUGGAACGGGACGCCAAAGAGGGUGAGAGCCCCGUAUAGUCGGACACCAAGCCUCUGUAAAGCUCCUUCGACGAGUCGAGUAGUUUGGGAAUGCUGCUCAAAAUGGGAGGUAAAUCUCUUCUAAAGCUAAAUACCGGCUAGAGACCGAUAGCGCACAAGUAGAGUGAUCGAAAGAUGAAAAGCACUUUGAAAAGAGGGUUAAACAGCACGUGAAAUUGUUGAAAGGGAAGCGCUUGUGACCAGACUUGCGCCCGGUUGAUCAUCCAGCGUUCUCGCUGGUGCACUCUGCCGGGCUCAGGCCAGCAUCGGUUCUCGCGGGGGGAUAAAAGCUUCGGGAAUGUAGCUCCCUCGGGAGUGUUAUAGCCCGCUGCAGAAUACCCUCGCGGGGACCGAGGUUCGCGCUCCGCAAGGAUGCUGGCGUAAUGGUCAUCAGCGACCCGUCUUGAAACACGGACCAAGGAGUCAAGCAUUAGGGCGAGUGUUUGGGUGUAAAACCCGCACGCGUAAUGAAAGUGAAUGUAGGUGAGAGCUUCGGCGCAUCAUCGACCGAUCCUGAUGUAUUCGGAUGGAUUUGAGUAAGAGCCUUACCGCUUGGACCCGAAAGAUGGUGAACUAUGCAUGAAUAGGGUGAAGCCAGAGGAAACUCUGGUGGAGGCUCGCAGCGGUUCUGACGUGCAAAUCGAUCGUCAAAUUUGUGCAUGGGGGCGAAAGACUAAUCGAACCAUUAAAAGUGAAAAAUAGGUAAUCCAGUAAAGCUACUAGGUGGUUAAGAGGCUGCGAGUCGCAGCCUAGGCUUGGUAGAACAAGCCGACACCGCUAAAUUGCGGGGAACUCCUGCCAUGCCCGGGCUACCGCCGGCCGCUGAAAAGCGCUGCCGGCACGGAGACGUAGUGGUCUCCGGUAUGGUAAUAACGCCUAUGGGAUAGGGAAUAUCCGCAGCCAACCCCGUUCCAGGGGAGAGUUCACAGACUAAACAGCGGUGGGUCCCUGUGCAGCCAGGGGCCUAAGAUAUAGUCGACUCCCGCCGCGA
rnacentral:rRNA from 1 species